rnacentral:rRNA from 1 species
AUUGAACGCUGGCGGCAGGCCUAACACAUGCAAGUCGAGCGGAUGAAGGGAGCUUGCUCCUGGAUUCAGCGGCGGACGGGUGAGUAAUGCCUAGGAAUCUGCCUGGUAGUGGGGGAUAACGUCCGGAAACGGGCGCUAAUACCGCAUACGUCCUGAGGGAGAAAGUGGGGGAUCUUCGGACCUCACGCUAUCAGAUGAGCCUAGGUCGGAUUAGUUAGUUAGUGGGGUAAAGGCCUACCAAGGCGACGAUCCGUAACUGGUCUGAGAGGAUGAUCAGUCACACUGGAACUGAGACACGGUCCAGACUCCUACGGGAGGCAGCAGUGGGGAAUAUUGGACAAUGGGCGAAAGCCUGAUCCAGCCAUGCCGCGUGUGUGAAGAAGGUCUUCGGAUUGUAAAGCACUUUAAGUUGGGAGGAAGGGCAGUAAGUUAAUACCUUGCUGUUUUGACGUUACCAACAGAAUAAGCACCGGCUAACUUCGUG